GCUGUAGCUCAGUGGCAAAGAAUCUGUCUCGCAAGCAAAUGGUCCCAGGUUCAAACCCCAGCUGCUGCC